rnacentral:rRNA from 1 species
AUGAUACGCGAGGAACUACCUGGCGUCGAACGUAAGAUGACUGUAGGUGAAAGCUUACAUCUCUUCGGAGCAUUUUACGAGGUGCUGCAUGGUUGUCGUCAGCUCGUGCCGUGAGGUGUCGGGUUAAGUCCCAUAACGAGCGCAACCCCUACCUUUAGUUGCCAUCAGGUUAAGCUGGGGACUCUAAAGGAACUGCCUACGCAAGUAGUGAGGAAGGCGGGGAUGACGUCAAAUCAGCACGGCCCUUACGUCCAGGGCUACACACGUGCUACAAUGGCCGAUACAGAGGGCAGCUACCUGGUGACAGGAUGCAAAUCUCCAAAGUCGGUCUCAGUUCGGAUCGGAGUCUGCAACCCGACUCCGUGAAGUUGGAUUCGCUAGUAAUCGCGCAUCAGCCAUGGCGCGGUGAAUACGUUCCCGGGCCUU